rnacentral:lncRNA from 1 species
AUGUGGAGGGUGCAAGGUUCAUGAUAUAAUUUUGAUUAAGUCUACUUUUGAGAUCACAUCAAAUUUUAAAUAUUUUGAAACAAAUUUUUUAAAACAAAGCUCCCCUUUUGUUAUAUAGAUGAGUAACAUCUCAAAAUUUCAAAAUUUUAUUCUUCACUUUAGUCAGAUUUACCAUCCAUUUGUCAAAUUUGUAAUCCAUUGCAUUUCUUCUUCUUUUUAGUUUAUUUCUUCUUUUUCUCUUUAGUAAUUAUAUUGCCUUCUCUUUCUCCCCCUUUUUAUCUUAAUCAAAAUGGUUAACAAGGGGGAACAAUUAGUCAAUUGCUCAUUCAAUCAACCAAUAAGAAGUACAAAUAAUCUAUGGAAUAUCCAUCAAUUUACCAUUCAAUCAAACAUUCAUGAGAUCAAGAAGAUGCUCAUUCAUUUCAUUUUAUAACAUUCAUAAGCAAAGAGUUUACAUAGGCAGAAGAAGCAUGUCCUUUACAAAAAAGAAAUAUAUAAAAGGAUCAGGCAAGUGCACAAAAAGUCCAAAGUGAUGAUAAUAUGUAAAUGCCCU